rnacentral:lncRNA from 13 species
UUUUUACAGUUCUUUGGAAGGACUAUUCUACUGAAACUCAUUAUGUAGAAAAGAGCAGUCUUACGGACAGUGCGUUGGACAAAGAGAAGAGAACCGGUCCCAUAUGCACCAUCUUUCACUUGUUGUCUUAUUGCCCCGACUUACUUCAUGACCAGUUUGUGACAGUGUCUGAUCUUCAAAGUGGAGCUAAUACUUGCCUUUCUCACAGGAAUAUUGUGAAGAUAAAUGAGAUAAAUCAUUUGAAGUGUUUUGGGCUCCACUGAUGAUUGAGGACGUUGAGGAUUGAGAACAAGCAAAGUAGAUGAAGAAAGGUGAUCAAGAAGAACCAUGAAAGUGUUAUCCUGGAAUCCAAGUGAAGACAGUGUUUCAAAGUGGAAAUGAACAUGUCCUGGAGCCCUCAGAACGAGGCUAGAGUCAGAAUGCAGGCGAAUGCAGGAUUUUCGCAUUUGAAAUCUAUGAGGCCUAUGACAAGAAAAAACAAUAUUUUUAGAGCUCAUCUAAAUAUCUCCUGUAUAGAAAGUAUUAUGAAAUUUGAACCCAGUUAUCAAAAGUUUGGAUGGGCCUUAAAGGUAGUGCUGUUUGCCACUAUAGGAAGAUCUGCCCUAGCAGACUGA